rnacentral:rRNA from 1 species
GUGCAUUUAUUAGAACAAAACCAGGCGGCUUCGCCGAAUUUUGUUGACUCAAAUUAACUCAGCUGAUCGCACGGUCUUGCACCGGCGACGUGUCAUUCAAGUAUCUGCCUUAUCAACUUUUGACGGGUGUGUAUUUGACUACCGAGGUUGUAACGGGUAACGGAGGAUUAGGGUUUGACUCCGGAGAAGGGGCCUGAGAAAUGGCCACUACGUCUAAGGAUGGCAGCAGGCGCGCAAAUUACCCACUCUCAGAACGAGGAGGUAGUGACGAGAAAUAACGAGACCGUUCUUUUUAAGGCCGGUCAUCGGAAUGGGUUAAAUUUAAACCCUUUGGCGAGUAUCUAUGAGAGGGCAAGUCUGGUGCCAGCAGCCGCGGUAAUUCCAGCUCUCAAAAUACAUAGAAUUUUUGCUGCGGUUAAAAAGCUCGUAGUUGGAUUUGUGCCGAGGGCGUGGUGCACCUUCGGGUGUUACUGCGUGCCGAGGCUUUGUGCCGGUCUUCUCAUCGUAGUCUCUGCGAUUGCGAUGGGUGGCUGGCGAGUUACUUUGAACAAAUCAAAGUGCUCAAAACAAGCGUUUCGCUUGAAUGAUUUUGCAUAGAAUAAUAGAAGAGGACUUCGGUCUAAUUUUAUUGGUUUUAUAGACCAAAGUAAUGGUUAAUAGGGAUUGACGGGGUCAACCGUAUUGUUGCGUGAGAGGUGAAAUUCUUGGACCGCAGCAAGACGAACAAUAGCGAAAGCAGUUGACCAGAAUAUCUCCAUUAAUCAAGAACGAAAGUCAGAGGUUCGAAGGCGAUCAGAUAC